UUCUGAGUAAAAUGUCAGGGAAAAAACAAAAAAAAAGAAAAGCCGUGUUUUUCUUUCUUCCAUCUCGCUGUCGUCUUUUUCUCGUUUCCUCGAUGAAGAUUGAGGAAGAGUUUCGUCUUGAUUGAGGAAGGAAACUCUUCUUACAUCCAUCCUGAUCAUUAGCUGAAUUUUUCGGCUUGAUUGAGGAAGAUUAAUUUUUGGCUUGUAUAGAUCAGUAUGAUAGCCAAUGGGUUUCGGUGAAUUUGAGCAACUAUGAUGAAUCAACUAUUCGGGAAACCCAAGCAGGAGUCUAAUUUUGUUAACGAUGUAUGUUCCAAUUUAGACAAUCUUAAGGAGACGCUUGAAAUGCUAGAGAAAAAGGAGACAAUACUCUUGAAGAAGGCUGGUCAAGAGGAGUGAUGCUUAACUUGUGUUCGUAUACGCAGAUAACUCGUCUGACGCUUCUUAGCGAUCAGUUGCAUUCAACUCGCAUAGCAUUUGUUGAAUUUGCUCUGGCGAGCUCUUUUCUCCAUGGGUGUAAUGUUUACUUUUGCUCAUUUUACUGAUGAAAACAGUGUCAUAAUACAUUCCCUAUACUAUUUAAUUUCUUUCUCUCGAAUGUAAUGUUUGAUUAAGGGAUGAAAGAUGACUUGGCAUUGUUUUCAGCUGCAAACUCAGAAACUUAUACUUGUUUUUGUUUUUGAGUGAACAGAUAGAGGUAGAUUCGAUACAUAGAGUGUAUUAGAGGAUUGUUUUCAUGUUGGAUUAUGACAUUGUUGUCAUGUUGUUGCUGAACAUUGGAGGAUUGCAAGUGAUAACUCCUCCUAUAGCUGUUUUUGUUGGUUCUCAUGUCAUUGUGAUUCCUGUA